GAUGAACGCUGGCGGCGUGCCUAAUACAUGCAAGUCGAGCGAACGGACGAGAAGCUUGCUUCUCUGAUGUUAGCGGCGGACGGGUGAGUAACACGUGGAUAACCUACCUAUAAGACUGGGAUAACUUCGGGAAACCGGAGCUAAUACCGGAUAAUAUUUUGAACCGCAUGGUUCAAAAGUGAAAGACGGUCUUGCUGUCACUUAUAGAUGGAUCCGCGCUGCAUUAGCUAGUUGGUAAGGUAACGGCUUACCAAGGCAACGAUGCAUAGCCGACCUGAGAGGGUGUGCGGCCACACUGGAACUGAGACACGGGCAAGACUCCGAGGGGAGGCAGGAGUAGGGAAUCUUCCGAAGUGGGGAAAACCACGACAGAGAAACGCAGGGUGGGUGUGGAAGGUGCUCAGAUCAUAAAACUUUGUUAUGAGGGAAGAAAAUAUGUGAAAGUAACGUAGCACAUUGUGACGGUACCAAAUCAGAAAACAACGGCUAAUUACGU
rnacentral:rRNA from 1 species